rnacentral:rRNA from 1 species
ACGCUCGACACCUACGGGGGCAGCAGUGGGGAAUAUUGCACAAUGGGGGAAACCCUGAUGCAGCGACGCCGCGUGAGCGAAGAAGUAUUUCGGUAUGUAAAGCUCUAUCAGCAGGGAAGAAAUGACGGUACCUGACUAAGAAGCCCCGGCUAACUACGUGCCAGCAGCCGCGGUAAUCUGAGGCGGGCUGGCAAGGC